rnacentral:lncRNA from 1 species
CAAUCCCUAGUUGAGAUUUUAGAUGUAGGGCCUCCAUUCCCUAGUCGCCUUUUGCCAACAUAGGCUCCAAUCUCUAGUUGAGAUUUUAGACAUAGGGCCCCAUUCCCUAGUCACCUUUUGCCAACAUAGGGCUCCAAUCCCUAGUUGAGAUUUUUCAACAUAGGGGAUCCAUUAUCUAGUCCCUUUUCUCCAACAUAGGGCUCCAAUCCCUAGUUGAGAUUUUUCGACAUAGAGCCUCCAUUCCCUAGUCGCCUUUUGCCAACAUAGGGCUCAAAUCCCUAGUUGAGAUUUUUAGACAUAGGGCCUCCAAUCCUUAGUCGUCUUUUGCCAACAUAGAGCAACAAUCCCUAGUGGAGAUUUUUCGACAUAGGGCCUCCAUUCCCUAGUCUACAUUUUGCCAACAUAGGGCUCCAAUCCCUAGUUGAGAUUUUGAC